UGGAGGAAGGAACAUGAUGAGUUAAGGAUAAAUCAUACAAUUGGCAUGCAUUCCUCCCUGGACAUUUGCUUGUGGAUCCCAGCUGCCACGCUGUGAGGAAGCCCAAGCACCAGCACCCUGAAGAGAGCUGAGGCCCCUCAGCCCUGCCUGGGCUCCCAGAGGAUGUUUAUAGGGAUCAAAGCUUACCUGGCAGCUGGGGAAGCAUUGUCUGCUACCAGUGACCUCUCAGCUUCUCCUGUUGGGCCUCUGGUCCAAAGGCCACCCCAAGAGCUGUGAGCACCAGGGGCCUGAGGAUGGUGGGAAGCAAGGCCUCGCUCACUGAGCUCAGAUGUCAGUGUGUUUGGAAGGAGGGACUGACCCCAGUUCCUCAUGCUUGAUCGCCGGCCACGCUGCUCUGAAUUUGAGAGCGAAACCCUUUGGGAGUGUUGCCAAGGGGCUGGACUCAGUCCCCGUGAACUGCAUGUCCUGGUCUCGAUGCCACCAUUGAUUACAAGUCUGCACCCAUGGAGUUGACUGGCCCAGGCAUUCAUCAAACGCACAUAAUUAGGCUUCCUG